rnacentral:rRNA from 2 species
AUGUCAACAUGAGCUAAUUUAGGAUUACAAAAUAGAGCAUCCCCAUUAAUAGAACAAUUAACCUUUUUUCAUGACCACACAUUACUCAUUUUAGUAAUAAUUACAAUCCUAGUAGGGUACCUAAUAUUUAUAUUAUUUUUUAACAACUAUACCAACCGUUUUUUACUUCAUGGACAAACUAUUGAAAUAAUCUGAACAAUCCUUCCUGCUGUUAUUCUUUUAUUCAUUGCUUUCCCAUCCCUGCGGCUAUUAUAUUUACUAGAUGAAAUUAAUGACCCAGCUAUCACACUAAAAUCUAUUGGGCACCAAUGAUACUGAAGUUAUGAAUAUUCAGACUUCAUUGACUUAGAAUUUGAUUCAUACAUAGUUCCAACUAAUGAACUCUCAAUAAACGGAUUUCGCUUAUUAGAUGUAGAUAAUCGGGUAAUCAUCCCUAUAAAUACACAAAUCCGUGUAUUAGUAACUGCAGCAGAUGUAAUCCAUUCCUGAACAGUCCCAGCUCUUGGAGUAAAAGUAGAUGGAACCCCAGGACGUUUAAAUCAAACCAAUUUUAUAAUUAACCGUCCAGGACUAUUUUUUGGACAAUGUUCAGAAAUUUGCGGGGCCAACCAUAGCUUUAUACCUAUUGUAAUUGAAAGAAUUACACCAACUCAUUUUAUUAAAUGAAUCUCU